AACAACUUGGUUUAGUGGUUGAAGCUCAUCACCAUGAAGUUGCAACUGCAGGCCAAAAUGAGAUUGCUUGUCGUUUCAAUACAUUAACUAAAAAAGCUGACGAAGUUCAAAUCUAUAAAUAUGUU
rnacentral:tRNA from 1 species